AGGAGUCGCGAUUGUUGAAUCUCCAAGACGAGAAGGUAACUAUCCUGGGAGAUCUGGUAUUUGAAUCUCGGCCCUUACCGAGAGGAAGAAAUUCGUAAACAAUUUCUCUGUGGCAAGCGAAGGUACCCUAACAGGCCCGAGUCUGCGAAUGUGAUGAAGCUGGAGUAAGGCGAGAGAAUUCCUAGUGAGGUCAAGGUCUUGUCUGUCAAGGCGCGACAGAGGGGGCAGACUUCGGGGUGAGAGCCAUGCAAAGUAUAAACAAGUAACUUCACAUCAUCAGCUCUAACCAACACCAGUCAGAUAGACACACACAUUCUACAAGGGCUUCCUAUUGUAAUGAGAAGGAGUAUCGUCUAAUUGUCUGGGCACAUGGGAAAUCCCGUGAGUUUUGUUGUGGUUAUCGAUGUUGUUAUGUCUUGGCCCGGAGGUUUUGAUGAGAGGCUGAAAUGGUAAUGUUGGAGUUUAGAAUCGUGAGGCUCUGGCGAGUUUGGGGUACUUCACUGUAGUCUGUGGCGAAAGCAUCCCCUCAUGGUUACUUUUCCAUGUGCAACACUCUUCCCUCUUGAUCACCUCUGCUGCCAUCUCUCUUUCUUUGAUCGGAAGCUGCUCUUCUUCAACUCUACUCUGCCUCCCUACUGGCUCAAAUCCCUGUAUUCACUUCUGUGAGCUUUCAAGGAUCUAUGUACUUGUGCCUUCUAAAGUUCGCUCGAGCUGCAGGGAUUCUCCAGGCCGGUUGACAAUUGAAGAGAUGAAUUCCAUUGUGUUUUGCUGUCGCAAGGUUAUCUCAGAACCUCACGCACUUCAUGGUGGAGCUUGAGAUACGAAUCAAGAAGAGUUGCACAGGGAACAGAAGCUAUGAAAUUAUUAACUAAUAAAGGACGACUUAUUGGAUGGUAUUUACGACAAUGAAAUGAGGAACUCUGGCGACCUUGCAUUAGGGGAGUUGAUUUGGAAGACGAAGUUGCCAAAGAAGAAAAUGCCUCCCUUAGAGUGCUCGUGCAUCUUUGAAGAGGUUCACGAUAACUAAUGUAAGGCGUUUGGGAGGAAGUAGAAGCGAGAAAAUGGAGACACACUUUGGGAGAGUAGCGACGUCAACACAAUUGAUUUCAGAGCUUAACACAUGGGUGCAAAUGGUGUAUAUGCUAUAUUUUCAAUUGAACAGUCUAUGGGGCACUUUCUGUUGUUCUCCAUUUUUCAUGAUGCAUAGGUACACACGGGGUGUGUAAAGUAGCUUGUAGGCUGAGGCAAAUUGAGAGUGCGUGUUCAGCAUCAUAGGGGUGAUGUAUUAGAGUUUCGAGUCCAUAAAUCUCUCUGGUCGUCAUUCUAAAAGUCUUAGAUCGGGAUCCAGCAAGGUGGGAGACAAUUACGGAGACCUUACUUCGGGUGUUCUAUCCACACAAUUUCAUAACGUAGCAAUUUGUUACAGGGAUCUAGUCUGCGCGAGGUUUGUGGAAGUCAAUCGUUGUCUACCUCGUGUUUGGGCUCAUUUAGCAUAAGGCUUACAUUCUCAGCAGCCUUACCUCAUGAUUUCACAGUUGGAGUCAAGAGUGCUACCUUCAACGAGGGCCCACGAAAGUACGAGCUCAUUUCCAGCACCGUCAAUAACCAGAUUGCUGGCACAAUCAACUUGAAGACGUUUUAUCCGGGCCUGGCUAUGGCUACUUUGCCGUAGGAGAAGGAAGGAUCCAGCAAUGGGACUUUUAACGCUGUAGGUAUCGUGGCGGCGACGAAGUGGCCACUUUGCUGUGUGACCCUUUCAUUGACGAGAGUAUUGAAUGUUACUUCACCAGUUUCAUCAGCUCUCAAACACAAGUAGAUUCUUACAUGGCAUUUCUGGUUAAUGGGAAGCUCAAGUAUCUCAAAAGCAGACGGUCUCAUGCAGAGAACCAGCAAAGCAUGGUAAAGUAGGAGACAGACGAUUACAACCCAGCCGCUGGUCUGUUUCAGGUUUCGCCUAGCCAUCAGGGUACAUGUGGAUUUGCUGCUGUUGCAACGACUUCCAGGAAUUCAAAGCAAGCUCCGAUCAUGACCUUGAGGCGUCAUGCAAGUAGGAUAGAGCAGUGGGGAUUCUUGUGGCUCCAGAGGCAGUCUUCUGGUUCCUGGGGCCAGUGUCUAGUGAAACCCAUGCAGGGUAAGCUUUAAAUUCCAUGAAAAUUAUUGAAGAGCUUAGGAGAGCCUUUCGCAGUCAAUCGAUUGGUUCUUCAGACUGGAAUUAAUUUCCCUAUUUGUGCUACCGUGGUUCUAUAGUCGCAUCACAGGUUGAUUGUAGAACAUUGGAUGAUUGUGGAAUCUCCAAAGGUGAUAUUGGAAGGCGUGGCUCAAGAACAAGAUUCUCUUAGUGUACACGGGUUUGUAUGCCAGUGAUGUGCUCAGUAUUUAGUUGUCCACUUAUAUAAAUUUCUACACUAUCUACAUCC